rnacentral:rRNA from 1 species
UACGGAGGGUGCAAGCGUUAUCCGGAUUCACUGGGUUUAAAGGGUGCGUAGGUGGGUUUGUAAGUCAGUGGUGAAAUCUCCAAGCUUAACUUGGAAACUGCCGUUGAUACUAUAAAUCUUGAAUGUUGUGGAGGUGAGCGGAAUGAUGUCAUGUAGCGGUGAAAUGCUUAGAUAUGAACAUAGAACACCAAUUGCGAAGGCAGCUCA